AUUGAACGCUGGCGGCAGGCCUAACACAUGCAAGUCGAACGGUAGCACAGAGAGCUUGCUCUCGGGUGACAAGUGGCGGACGGGUGAGUAACGUCUGGGAAACUGCCCGAUGGAGGGGGAUAACUACUGGAAACGGUAGCUAAUACCGCAUAACGUCGCAAGACCAAAGUGGGGGCACCUCGGGCCUCACACCAUCGGAUGUGCCCAGCAGGGAUUAGCUAGUAGGUGGGGUAAUGGCUCACCUAGGCGACGAUCCCUAGCUGGUCUGAGAGGAUGGCCGGCCACACUGGGACUGAGACAAGGACCAGACGCCUACGGGAGGCAGCAGUGGGGAAUAUUGCACAAUGGGCGAGAGCCUGGUGCAGCCAUGCGGCGUGUAUGAAGAAGGCCUUCGGGUUGUAAAGUACUUUCAGCGGGGAGGAAGGUGGGGAAGUUAAUAACAUCACCGAUUGACGUUACCCGCAGAAGAAGCACCGGCUAACUCCGUGCCAGCCGCCGCAGUAA
rnacentral:rRNA from 1 species